GCGGCGGCUAGCGAGCGAUUUCAACAUACUGAAACGUCUUGAACUCCUGCGCCGGAGUGUGCUGAUAUUUUGUGAAUUCCCCCAGUUAUCACAAUGGUUUCUUCAUUUGAACGACGCUUGCGUUUGGAUAACAAGUGAUACUGGAGAUCUAAGUGAUAUAUUAUAUAGGCGCAAAACGACUCUGUUCAUCUGGAAAUAAGGUAAUCCUCACCACUGACAGAUGCCACUCAUCCAGUAAAUCAACCCUGGGUGAAGAGUCGGCUGGAAUAGGCCAAUAUUAAAUGUAGGCCUUCUAAUUGUGAACAUUACAACGAAAGGUUUCGGAAUGCUCCCCCUGCCUCUGUUUCUCCCGACUCCCCGGGGUGUACGACAAAAGAUCAUCAGUUCUAGUUUUCAAGAAUCCUUAGUUAUUGACAGAAUUGUAUGAUUGUAGUGGUAUGCUUAUUGAACAAAUAAGUGUACGUAUGCGCGCGCGCGCGAGCAUGUGGGUAUAUUUUAUAUAUAUAUAUAUUAACAUUGUAUGAAGUCUU